rnacentral:rRNA from 1 species
CACGGGGGGAGCAAGCGUUGUUCGGAAUCACUGGGCGUAAAGGGCGUGUAGGCGGUCAGGUAAGUGAGAUGUGAAAUGCCCCGGCUCACCCGGGGACCGGCAUCUCAUACUGCUUGGCUUGAGUACGGGAGAGGAUGUGGGAAUUCCUGGUGUAGCGGUGAAAUGCGUAGAUAUCAGGAGGAACACCGGUGGCGAAGGCGCACAUCUGGCCCGAUACUGACACUCAGAGACGAAAGCUAGGGGAGCAAAUGGG